rnacentral:rRNA from 1 species
GAUGAACGCUGACAGAAUGCUUAACACAUGCAAGUCAACUUGAAUUUGGGUUUUUUAACUUAGAUUUGGGUGGCGGACGGGUGAGUAACGCGUAAAGAACUUGCCUCACAGCUAGGGACAACAUUCGGAAACGAAUGCUAAUACCUGAUAUUAUGAUUAUAAGGCAUCUUAGAAUUAUGAAAGCUAUAUGCGCUGUGAGAGAGCUUUGCGUCCCAUUAGCUAGUUGGAGAGGUAACGGCUCACCAAGGCGAUGAUGGGUAGCCGGCCUGAGAGGGUGAACGGCCACAAGGGGACUGAGACACGGCCCUUACUCCUACGGGAGGCAGCAGUGGGGAAUAUUGGACAAUGGACCGAGAGUCUGAUCCAGCAAUUCUGUGUGCACGAUGACGUUUUUCGGAAUGUAAAGUGCUUUCAGUUGGGAAGAAAAAAAUGACGGUACCAACAGAAGAAGU